CCUACGGGGGGCAGCAGUGAGGAAUAUUGGUCAAUGGCCGGAAGGCUGAACCAGCCAUGCCGCGUGAAGGUCAGUGCCCUAUGGGCGUUAAACUUCUUUUGUGCGGGAGCAAUAAUGGUCACGUGUGGCCAGACGAGGGUACCGUACGAAUAAGCAUAGGCUAACUCCGUGCCAGCAGCCGCGGUAAUACGGGGGAUGCAAGCGUUAUCCGGAUUUAUUGGGUUUAAAGGGGGCGUGGGCUGUGACGUAAGUUAGCGGUGAAAUGCCGCCGCUCAACGGGGUGAAGUGCCAUUGAUACUGCCUGGCUGGAGUGCGGAUGCCGUGGGAGGAAUGUGUGGUGUAGCGGUGAAAUGCAUAGAUAUCACACAGAACACCGAUUGCGAAGGCAUCUCACGAAUCCGCGAUUGACGCUGAUGCACGAAAGCGUGGGUAUCAAACAGGAUUAGAUACCCUAGUAGUC
rnacentral:rRNA from 1 species